rnacentral:rRNA from 1 species
UGGGGAAUAUUGGACAAUGGGCGAAAGCCUGAUCCAGCCAUGCCGCGUGAGUGAUGAAGGCCUUAGGGUUGUAAAACUCUUUCGCAGGUGACGAUAAUGACGGUAACCUGAGAAGAAGCUCCGGCUAACUUCGUGCCAGCAGCCGCGGUAAUACGAAGGGGGCUAGCGUUGUUCGGAAUUACUGGGCGUAAAGCGCGCGCAGGCGGUCUUACAAGUCAGAGGUGAAAGCCCAGGGCUCAACCCUGGAACUGCCUUUGAAACUGUAAGACUUGGGUAUGGGAGAGGUGAGCGGAAUUCCGAGUGUAGAGGUGAAAUUCGUAGAUAUUCGGAAGAACACCAGUGGCGAAGGCGGCUCACUGGCCCAUUACCGACGCUCAGGCGCGACAGCGUGGGGAGCAAACAG